rnacentral:rRNA from 1 species
UAAAGCUAAAAAGAGCGCAGGGCGGAUGCCUUGGCAUUGGGAACCGAUGAAGGACGUGGUUAACUGCGAAAAGCUGCGGUGAGUUGUAAGCGAACAUAGACCCGCAGAUAUCCGAAUGGAGCAAUCCAUAUGAGUGAAGCUCAUAUAUCAUAUACUGAAUCAAUAGGUAUAUGAAGGGAACCUCCUGAACUGAAACAUCUAAGUAGGGAGAGGAAGAGAAAUCAACCGAGAUUUUGUGAGUAGUGGCGAGCGAAAGCGAAAGAGGCCAAACCGUAAUCAGCAAUGAAUACGGGGUUGCGGACUGCAUUUAGCAUUGCUGAGCUUUAAUAGAACAGGAUGGGAAGCCUGACCGAAGAGUGUGAAAGUCACGUAAAUGAAAGAGUGAAGCAGCGAGCAGUAUCCAGAGUACCGCGGGACACGUGAAACCCCGUGGGAAGCUGGGGGGACCACCCUCCAAGCCUAAAUAUUCCCCAAUGACCGAUAGCGAAGAGUACUGUGAAGGAAAGGUGAAAAGGACCCCGGGAGGGGAGUGAAAAAGAACCUGAAACCCUGUGCUUACAAGCACUGAGAGCACGUCAAUGUGUGAUCAGGUACCUUUUGUAGAAUGGUCCGGCGAGUUAUCAUAUGUAGCGAGGUUAAGUACUUAAGGUACGGAGCCGCAGCGAGAGCGAGUCUGAAAAGGGCGAAAAAGUUGCAUGUGAUAGACCCGAAACCGAGUGACCUAGCCAUGUCCAGGCUGAAGUGGAGGUAAAACUCCAUGGAGGGCCGAACCGACCCCCGUUGAAAAGGUGGCGGAUGAGGUGUGGCUAGCGGAGAAAUUCCAAUCGAACUCGGAUAUAGCUGGUUCUCCCCGAAAUAGCUUUAGGGCUAGCGUUGUAUUAGAUUACCGGAGGUAAAGCACUGAAUGGGCUAGGGGCCGAGAGGUUACUGAACCUUAUCAAACUAAGAAUGCCGGAUAAUUGAUGUACAGCAGUCAGACUGUGUGAGAUAAGUCUCAUAGUCAAAAGGGAAACAGCCCAGACCCACAGCUAAGGUCCCAAAAUAGAUUUAAGUGGAAAAGGAUGUGGGGUUGCACAGACAACCAGGAUGUUGGCUUAGAAGCAGCCACUCAUUAAAAGAGUGCGUAAUAGCUCACUGGUCGAGUGACCCUGCGCCGAAAAUUCAACGGGGCUAAAAUCUAUACCGAAGCUUGGGCUUGUACAGCAAUGUACAGGGGUAGGGGAGCGUCGUAUAAGAGGAGAAGUCAUAGCGGAAGCGAUGGUGGAUUUUAUACGAGAGAGAAUGCCGGAAUGAGUAGCGAGAAUUAUGUGAGAAUCAUAAUGGCCGAAAGUCUAAGGUUUUAGGAGGAAGGUUCGUCCGCUCCUAGUAAGCCGGGAGCUAAGGCGAGGCGGAGACGCGUAGCCGAUGCACAUACGGUAGAGAUUCCGUAGCCUCUGAAAAAUUUAAGCACAAGGACACUUAAGCAAGCGUUUAGCCGGGAGUUGGUUUUCCCGGUCGUAAGGGACUCCUUUAGGGAGGAAGUAAAUGUGGAUUGAGGCGAGAAAAGUUGUGUGAAUAUUUGAAGAGCCCGUACCGCAAACCGACACAGGUAGACAGGAAGAGGAUUCUAAGGCCAACGGGAGAAGGGUUGUUAAGGAACUCGGCAAGUUGACCCCGUAACUUAGGGAGAAGGGGUGCUCGAAAGAGCCGCAGAGAAUAGGCCCAAGCGACUGUUUAGCAAAAACACAGCUCUAUGCUAAAUCGAAAGAUGACGUAUAUGGGGUGACACCUGCCCGGUGCUGGAAGGUUAAGAGGAGAAGUGAGAGCUUUGAAUUGAAGCCCCAGUAAACGGCGGCCGUAACUAUAACGGUCCUAAGGUAGCGAAAUUCCUUGUCAGGUAAGUUCUGACCC